rnacentral:rRNA from 1 species
UACAGAGGUGGCAAGCGUUGUUCGGAAUUACUGGGCGUAAAGGGCGAGUAGGCGGCCUUCUAAGUCAGACGUGAAAUCCCCCGGCUUAACCUGGGAACUGCGUCUGAUACUGGGAGGCUCGAGUAUGGGAGAGGGAUGUAGAAUUCCAGGUGUAGCGGUGAAAUGCGUAGAUAUCUGGAGGAAUACCGGUGGCGAAGGCGGCAUCCUGGACCGGUAUUGACGCUGAGGCGCGAAAGCCAGGGGAGCAAACGGG